CGGUGUCUUUGAUUUUAUUUCCGCGUGAAGGAUGUGUGAAGCUGCACGUCUAUUCUCUGGCCCGAUGCCUGCUCGUAUGGAGCUCAUGGUCCCGCAUGGCAUCCGUCGUAUUGUUUACUCGUUUGAAUUUGAUGUGUGCCAGCAACGCCCAAGUCCAAAGAAUAUCGUUGGUCUCGUUUGAAGCCCAAAUCCACAUGCUUGAUUGAACUCUAUUUGUUUAAAACAAGCCGAGAAGGACAUGUGAAAACUAUUACUGUAUCCUUCAUGGUUCAUCACUUUUCUAUGGACCAAGUGGUCUAUGGUGGAU
rnacentral:lncRNA from 1 species